UGAAUGGCCUCUAACAUGAUUGCAUGUUUAGUUGGAUAGUCUAUUGGCCAGAAAAAAGGUUGGAGAGUCAUGGUUACUGUAAUAGUUGAGAGAGAGCCAGACGUGUUUGCUUUACCCUCAAUUCUCAAACCUCUUGAUUUUCUCUCUAGUUUCUGCUUCUUUUCAUGAUCAGAUCAUUGCCUUAAAUUUGAACCGCAACGCUCCGUUCGCUGAUUCGGGACUCGGAUCUUGCAACAAGUGGGCUCCACCUUCACGCUCACAUGUCUGUCUUUCUGUGACCCUUUUGCAUGGGAGCACUCCUCCCGCUCUUCUUUCGUGAAUUCUCUGAAAUCUCGCUUUUGUUUUGUUUUGGGUCGAUGCUUCCCUUAGGCGGCUCGUCUCUCUAAGUCCAAGCUCUCAACGUGUUGCUCUGCUUCGCUGCACAAUCGAUAGAGUCCCACCUCCCUUAGAUUUAGCACAAAGGAGUCGAAAUAAGGUGUGGGAUAAUGGGGGCCUCAAGAUCCAAGAUGGAGGAUGAUAAGGCACUUCAACUGUGCCAUGAAAGGAAGAAGUUUGUUAGACAAGCACUUGAUGGGCGAUGCUCACUAGCAGCUGCUCAUGUGUCAUAUGUCCAGUCACUGAAAAAUACAGGAACAACUUUGAGAAGAUUCAUAGAAACUGAAGCACCAAUUCAAUCUUCCUUGUACACUUCCACUAAUUCAACAGCAGAUCCCAUUGGUUUACCUGAGAAGACUCUUUCACAAUUCCCAGCCCCUUUGCAAUCUGUGUCUCGACGUCUUAAUGCAGUAGAAACCUUCUCCUCAUCUCCCUCUCCUCCUAGCUCUUGUAAGAUCCAAGCAAAACAUAUGAAAUUCAGCAGUUUCUCUUCUAGAAAGGUCAAAGAGAAGUCUCCUGUUCAUUCCGUAGGGAUAGUAACAUCAUCAGGUACACCGCAACAUACCAUGCCUGGUUCAAAUGAAAGGGCUGAAAGGUUAGCAUUUGAUGACUCUUCUCAUCCAGUUGGAAAUCAGCCCUGGGAUUACUUUGGUCUUUUUGAUCCUGUUCACCAUCAAUUUUCUUUUAUGGAAGGGAAAGGUGUGCGCCAAGAAAUGGGGAGUCCUGAUGAUAUAACCAGAUUAAAGGCUGAAGAGAAGGAUUCUUCUCAUGGAAAGGAAGACUCUCAGAAUUCUGAAGAUGAAUUUGGCAAUGAGCCUGACCCAAAUUCCUUGGUCCAAAGAUUUGAAAAUCUUCACAGAGUUAAUGACAAAACUGCAGUUAAUGAAUCACUUGCCCCAACCAAGCCUCUGACAGGGGAUCCUGAUUCUGAAGUUGAACUCAUGAAUGGAGAGAAGGGCAAUUCCCCUAAUUUAUCACCACUGGGAACAACAUCUGCCGUAGCUUUAGUUCGAACUAAAACGAAUAAAUCAGUGGAGAAAGAAAAUCAUAGUGAAAAUAAAGUUGCUCCAAAGGACUUGUUUUCUAGCAUGAAAGAUAUUGAAUUUCUAUUUACAAAAGCUUCAGAAUCUGGCAUGGAGGUUCCAAAAAUGCUUGGAGCAAAUAAGUUGCAUUUCCGACCGAUAUUCCCAGCAAAAGAAAGGGAAUCAUUGAUUGUAGCAGAUAGGCCUGUGACAUCUUUAAUAUUGAAGGCAUGUUUCUCAUGCGGGGAAGACCUGGGUCAAGUUCCGGAAGAACCUUCUCAAAACUUGGUUAAGUACUUAACUUGGCAUGGCACGGAAUCAUCUCGAUCUUCUUCUUCAAGGAACCCAUUAGGAGAAAACUCUAAAGAUGGUGUAGAGAACAUCACAAGUAAUAUCUUCGAUAAUUUCUGCAUGAUCUCGGGCAGCCAUGCAUCAACCUUGGAUAGACUGUAUGCAUGGGAAAGAAAGCUCUAUGAUGAAGUCAAGGCUAGUGGAUUGGUAAGUAAAAAAUAUGACAUGAAGUGUAAAAUCUUAAGACGCCUAGAAUCAAAAGGAGAAAAGAGCUCCACAAUUGAUAAAACUCGUGCUGUUGUCAAAGAUCUGCAUUCAAGAAUCAGAGUUGCAAUUCAGAGGAUAGAGUCUAUAUCAAAGAGGAUUGAGGAAUUGCGGGACAAAGAGCUUCAGCCACAACUUGAGGAGUUGAUUGAAGGUUCAAGUCGAAUGUGGGAAGUAAUGUCUGAAUGCCACAAGCUUCAAUUUCAGAUCAUGUCAACAGCCUAUUGUAACAGCCGUGCUAGAAUAGCCGUGCAAUCUGAAUUACGUAGGCAGAUGGCUGUUUAUCUUGAAAAUGAACUCCACACUCUGCAAUCAAGUUUUUCCAAGUGGACAGGAGCUCAAAAGUUUUACUUGGAGGCUCUAAAUGGAUGGCUUUACAAAUGUGUUUCUCUCCAGCAAAAAUCAUCAAACAAGAGAAAACGGAGGCUUCAACCUCCUCCAUUCAGGAACUAUGGCCCUCUAAUAUAUGCCACUUGCGGUGUCUGGUUAGAAAAGCUCGAUACUUUACCCUCCAAGGACGUUACUGAUUCUAUAAAGAGUUUAGCUAGUGAAAUUGCCCGCUUUUUACCACAUCAAGAGAAGAACCAGGGUAAAGGUGCCAAUAAUCCACGCACGACAUCCUGGAAGGUUGAAAAAGGUAGUGGAUCGGUGGAAAAUUUCUUUAGAGAUGACACUUCAGAGGAGAGGGUGUUGGGUUUAGAUCAAGUUCGAGCGAGCUUGAUCAGAUUUCUUGGUCAGCUAACUAAUUUUGCCAGAUCAUCUGUCAACAUGUAUGCAGAACUCACACAAACCAUUCAUGAUGCCAAGAGUCAUUAUCAUCGGUGAAAUUCUCAUUCUUCUGAUAGUCAGAGUUCUCAUUCUCAAUAAGGUAAUUCGAAUUCUCAGCCUCCAGACAAUCAACCCAUGUCUCGACCUCAAGUUUAAUCAGGAAAAAAAUCAAUCCAGAUGAACAAUGGAAGUCAUAAGAGUCACGUUGAAGUGUAAAAGCAAUUUGAACACAGGAGUGAACUUAAUGUUCAGAUACAAGCUCUAUGUACAUGGCAUCUGUACAUGUGGGAGUAAUCGUGAUGGUGGUGUUCCAUGUAACAAGAUAAUUAGGCAAAAGCUGUAAUUACUAGGCGCUGGUGGUGAGGAGGUUGUAUGUAGAGCUAGCAUGUGCCUAGUGCCUGUCUUCGGCUGACAUGUGGCAUUAGGAGAGGCUGAGACAAUAGACAAAUCAAUUUUGUAUCGAAGAAGGCUGUGGAUACCAAGGGGGGCUUCGUUUCAAGUACAUGCUGACUUUGUCUGAAUUUGUAUAUAAUAUAUUUUUGAC